rnacentral:rRNA from 1 species
ACUAGUGAUUACUCCUACGGAGGCAGCAGUGGGGAAUUUUGGACAAUGGGGGCAACCCUGAUCCAGCCAUGCCGCGUGCGGGAAGAAGGCCUUCGGGUUGUAAACCGCUUUUGUCAGGGAAGAAACGGUCUGCGCUAAUACCGCGGACUAAUGACGGUACCUGAAGAAUGAGCACCGGCUAACUACGUGCCAGCAGCCGCGGAUAAUCCCGCG